CCCUAUGGGGUGCAGCAGGCCGUAGGUAGGAGGAACCCAUGAAAGCAUCCGAGAUAGCGAUCAUCGUGGUGAUCCUCGCACAGACUUGCAUGUAAGUGCUUAAACUUAUGGAGAAAUGGAAAUACAUCGCAUGAAAGGAGCGUAGCAUGGGCGUAAACGGGUUCCGAGAAGAUGAACUGGUAAGCCGCAGAGUCAAGGUCGGCAAUGAAUGGCAAACCCGAAUCUUCCCAGUAGUGGGAGGGAGAUUGCGCAUUCUCCACGAAAACAACGACCGCCUCGGCAUCCAGACUGAAAUCGUAAGGUUGGACACGGACUUCGUGGUUGUCAAAGCCGCAGUGGAGAACCAAAGGGGAAAGUUCAACGGCACGGGAACCGCUUCAAGCCAAAGAGAUGCGAGGCUGGCGGACUCGCUGGUGGAAUUGGCGGGGGAGC
rnacentral:rRNA from 1 species